ensembl:lincRNA
UCUUCUUUUUACAACAUCUCUUUGCCUCUUAAUGAAACCAUUGAGGCAAACAUGGUACCAGUGUCUGGCCCUCCCACUGUCCUGUCAAAUCCUGUUCUUGGGGAAUGAUUGAAUUGGUGUGUAGUGUUCCUGAUGAUGUCUGCAUCUUGGAGGCCCACAGGUUGCAGCAGCAGCCCCGGAGCUUUUGACUGCCCAGGGACACCUUCUAUGUCAGAGGGACCAAGGUGGAUCCUGGGCAAGAUGGAGCUGACAGGUGUCCAGUGGUGUUUGAGCAUCAUGGAAGUGGCCCGUGACUGCAUCUGCUUCACCUUUGGAAAGAAGAAAUUUGGAACGGAGGUGUGGUCUGCUCCUGAUAUGACACCUUGUUUAAAGCAACUUCAGGUCCUCCUGGGGCUGGAUGAGGGGGACUCGCAGAGGAGGGCUUGUGGAGGGAGAGUCUUUAUGAAGUGGUAGAGUGAACACUUCAUAUUUUAAGCCUGGGAAAAAAGCAUCUCCUGGCAGGCAGUCUUACCAAGUGUGUGCAGGCUGUGGUGGAAUCUUCCAAGGCCUGUUUGCAGCUCCAUUUGAGGUGCUCCGUUUCCUGGCUCUACAAUGGCCCUGUUAAAAUCCUACCCCAAAUCGUUGGUUCACAUACAAGGUGACAGGCAAGGUAAUCAUUUUCUUUGGCUGCCGUGUGCUUCCCAGUUUACAGCCCCUCCAGAUCCAGCGUGGAAGAAGGAUGAGAUGCUGCCGAAUCUUUGUGCGGACUCCAAAUGGUUCCCUCAUGAAGAAGGCGGCUUGGGAAAGAAAACGAUGCAUCAACACAUUUGUCCUGAGAAUGCUCACAGAAAACAGAAGGCGAAAGAGAAUGUUAAGCAAGGAACAAACCCAGAGCAAAAAAAGUAACCAAGGCACUCUCCGAGGAUUCCAGCUUCCAGGUUGGAACAGAAGUUUGCCUUCUAAUAACCAGGCUUCUCAGAAUGGGAAUGGGCUGUUCCCCGACAUCUGCAUACAUGCAAACUCAGAUCCCCGGGUUGUUUCAGACUGUAAGUUUUCCAACUAUGACUACCUCCAAUCUAUGAGAUCGUUCCUCCGCACUUACACCGAACAGUCACAUCGAUUUGCGACGCUAAUGAAGUAAAUACCCAAGAAUCCUCGUUCAUGAGCUAUUACCUCCAUAUUGAUUGUAGCCUUAAUUGACAAUUACUUGAAUGGGCUGGGCUACACUGAGCUUUUAUUAAUUUUCCAUUGUGAUGCUCAUUACUAAACUUCAUUACAAUUGUGUAACAAUGCAAACUCCCCACUGUGGUUAACUGAAGUGGAAAAUUCCACUGGCCGCAUCCCCAAAUCUAUUUAUUCUGGAAAAUAAAGAAUUUGGUGUUAUUAAAUUUGAUAUCAGGAUUCUAGGCCUUGAUUCUGUGGGAAGAGAAUCGUGACU